rnacentral:rRNA from 1 species
GACGAACGCUGGCGGCGUGCCUAAUACAUGCAAGUAGAACGCUGAAGGAGGAGCUUGCUUCUCUGGAUGAGUUGCGAACGGGUGAGUAACGCGUAGGUAACCUGCCCGGUAGCGGGGGAUAACUAUUGGAAACGAUAGCUAAUACCGCAUAAGAGUAGAUGUUGCAUGACAUUUGCUUAAAAGGUGCAAUUGCAUCACUACCAGAUGGACCUGCGUUGUAUUAGCUAGUUGGUGGGGUAACGGCUCACCAAGGCGACGAUACAUAGCCGACCUGAGAGGGUGAUCGGCCACACUGGGACUGAGACACGGCCCAGACUCCUACGGGAGGCAGCAGUAGGGAAUCUUCGGCAAUGGACGGAAGUCUGACCGAGCAACGCCGCGUGAGUGAAGAAGGUUUUCGGAUCGUAAAGCUCUGUUGUAAGAGAAGAACGAGUGUGAGAGUGGAAAGUUCACACUGUGACGGUAUCUUACCAGAAAGGGACGGCUAACUACGUG